rfam:Listeria monocytogenes str. 4b H7858 cont670, whole genome shotgun sequence.
AUAAGCUAACAACAAGCAAAACAUUUUCAUUCUUCUCCCCCCUUUUUAGAAUGAAGAUCCCAAACUCCCUUUUUGACCAGUGUGGUUUACUCCCUUUUUCCACACUGGUUUUUUC